GACGAACGCUGGCGGCGUGCUUAACACAUGCAAGUCGAACGGUGAACCUCUUCGGAGGGUUUCAGUGGCGAACGGGGGGGUUACACGUGGGCAACCUGCCCCCGGCUCUGGGAUAACUCCAGGAGAUUGGGGCUAAUACCGGCGGUUCAUCGCUUCCCGCAUGGUUGGUUGUUGAAAGGGUUUCCGGCUGGGGAUGGGCCCGCGGCCCUUCAGCUUGUUGGUGGGGUAGUGGCCUACCAAGGCGACGACGGGUAGCCGGCCUGCGAGGGUGACCGGCCACACAGGGACUGAGACACGGCCCGGACUCCUACGGGAGGAAGCAGUGGGGAAUAUAGCGCAAUGGGCGGAAGCCUGAAGGAGCGACGCCGCGUGGGGGAGGACGGCCUUCGGGUUGGAAACCUCUUUCAGCAGGGACGAAGAGAAAGUGACGGUACCUGCAGAAGAAGCACCGGCCAACUACGUG
rnacentral:rRNA from 1 species